GGGACCAUGGCGCAGUUGGCUAGCGCGCAGGUCUCAUACCCUGUAUGAUCAGGCCGUUCACGGCUUGAGUAAUCCUGAGGUCGGGAGUUCGAGCCUCCCUGGUCCCA
rnacentral:tRNA from 1 species